rnacentral:lncRNA from 1 species
CUCAAAAACGAAAGCAUUUAGAGCAAAUCUGACAUGGGGUAAAAAUGUUCAUUAGGUCAAGAUCUAUCAGCCCUGAAAUUUUCAGAUGAAUCAAACAACCCAUUGUUGGGUUGCUGUCACUUAAUUGGUAAUUUUAAGGAAAUUUUGCAGUUUUUGGUCAUUAUCUUGAAUAUUAUUAUAGAUAAAGAUAAACUGUAAACAGCAAAAAUGAUCA